AAUACGUGUAUGAGACUUUACAUUGAGUGAAUUGAUAGAAUA
rnacentral:guide_RNA from 1 species